rnacentral:rRNA from 1 species
GCAGCGAAAGCGAGUCUGAAUAGGGCGCCCAAGUUCGUUGAAUUAGACCCGAAGGCAAGUGAUCUAGGCAUGUCCAGGCUGAAGGUGCGGUAACACGCACUGGAGGGCCGAACCCAUGAAUGUUGAAAAAUUCUGGGAUGAGGUGUGCCUAGGGGUGAAAGGCUAAUCAAACUUGCUGAUAGCUGGUUCUCCGCGAAAACUAUUUAGGUAGUGCGUCGACUGAAUACCUCAGGGGGUAGAGCACUGGAUGGGCUAGGGGGUCUCGCAGACUUACCAAACCUAACCAAACUCCGAAUACCUGAGAGUAAUAGUCGGCAGACACACGGUGGGUGCUAACGUCCAUCGUGAAGAGGGAAACAACCCUGACCGUCGAUUAAGGCCCCCAAGUAAUGGCUAAGUGGGAAAGCAUGUGGAAAUGCUGAAACAACCAGGAUGUUGGCUUAGAAGCAGCCAUCAUUUAAAGAAAGCGUAACAGCUCACUGGUCAAGCGUUUCUGCGGCGAAAAUGUAACGGGG